UAUGUGAUCGUCUCUCGCAUAUCAAUAAGCGGAGGAAAAGAAACUAACAAGGAUUCCCCUAGUAACGGCGAGUGAAGCGGGAAGAGCUCAAAUUUGAAAUCUUAAAGGGUUUCCCUUUACGAAUUGUAGUUUAAAGAAGUGUUUUCUGUUGAGGUUUUGGUAAAAGGUUCUUUGGAAUAGGACAUCAUAGAGGGUGAGAAUCCCGUAUUUGACCUUUACUUUCAACUUUGUGAUACACUUUCAAAGAGUCGGAUUGUUUGGGAAUGCAGUCCAAAAUGGGUGGUAAAUUUCAUCUAAAGCUAAAUAUUGGCGAGAGACCGAUAGCGAACAAGUACCGUGAGGGAAAGAUGAAAAGAACUUUGAAAAGAGAGUUAAACAGUACGUGAAAUUGUCAAAAGGGAAGCGUUUGACACCAGUGUUGUUUUUCUGAAAAUCAAUUAAAGAACUGUUUAUGCUAAGUUGUUUAGACUUUAUCAGCUAACUGUUUAGUUUUGAGCUUUUCUUUAAUGCACUUUUCAGUUAACAAGUCAACAUCAAUUUCUUUUGCUGUAAAAAAGCUUGAGGAAGGUGGCUUGAGAUUCGUCUUAAGUGUUUAUAGCCUCUUGCCUAUGCAGUCGGAGAGAUUGAGGUCUGCAGCGUAGAUCCUUCGGGGCUAAAUGCAUUUGUGCUAAGUUAUAGCAUUUUAUAGACAACUUGUUGACUAUGAUUUGUCUUGUAGCUUACUCGCUUAUGUUAUUUUACCUACGCUUAGGAUGUUGAGUAGCGACAUACGCAC
rnacentral:rRNA from 1 species